rnacentral:tRNA from 1 species
GGACAGAUGGCCGAGUGGUCUAAGGCGCCGUCUUCAGGCGGCGGUCUUCGGGCGUGGGUUCGAAUCCCACUCUGUUCA